rnacentral:rRNA from 1 species
CGCGUAGGUGGUUUGUUAAGUUGGAUGUGAAAGCCCCGGGCUCAACCUGGGAACUGCAUCCAAAACUGGCAAGCUAGAGUACGGUAGAGGGUGGUGGAAUUUCCUGUGUAGCGGUGAAAUGCGUAGAUAUAGGAAGGAACACCAGUGGCGAAGGCGACCACCUGGACUGAUACUGACACUGAGGUGCGAAAGCGUGGGUAGCGAACA